GGGAGCCACAUAGAAAACAGAUGCUCUCUGGAACCAGACUGAAAUUGAAAUGCAAGAUAUAUAUAUAUAUAUAUAUAUCACAGAAUCUCUGUCACUAAAUAUUCUCCCAGAGGCAAAGGAGCUGGGAUAUUUACACCCUGACUCUCAUCAUUAAGUGGAUGGCUCUUGGAGGGUAUUUGAACUCUCUCACACAUCUGGACUGCCAAGAACACAGACAUGAUGCUUGGAGCUAUAGCAGCCAUCUCGCAAUCAUGAGGAAAGGCCAAGAGAAUUUCUGAGUCACCAAACCCAGCACUGUUCAGCUGCUGAGCCAAUCCCUACAGCCUCCUAUCUCUAGACCUUGUGCUCUGUGAGAAAACUAAAACCCCAUUUUGUUUAAUGCC
rnacentral:lncRNA from 1 species